AUCUUUGGUUACUCCACCCUACCCCUCCCAUCCCUCCUCCUCCUCCUCCUCUUCCUCCUCCUUCUCUAACAACGCCCGCACUACCUUCUGAUUCUCCACCUCCUCUUCAUCCUCCAUCCCCCUUUUACUUCUCUCUCCCCCGUCUCUCCUCCCUCCCGCCUCCUUUCUCCCUCUCCCCCUCCCUCUCUCCUCUGAAUAAGCAAGCUUUUGCCUCUAAAAGUCACAAGUAAUCCUCGUGUGUGACAGAGAGAGAGAGAGAGAGAGAGAGAGAGAGAGAGAGAGAAACGAGCUGGCGGAGAGGAGCAGAAGGCAGGAGGGGAAAUCUGGCACAACGGCUGGGAGAGGAAACUUGAUGCUUCUGGGCCACCAUUUGCCAGGGCCUCGCUCGAGACGCCGAAAGAAGCCUGUUUGUGUGCUGCGGCCGUGCUGUGACUUUGGAUCUUGUCUUUCAGCCGGCGCCUCGGUUCCUGCCCAGCUGGAUUUGGGGGGCAGCAUUGCCUGGCGCAGGGAGAUCAAAUGAGACUGCAAAGAAGCAUAAAAUGAAUAGACAAUCCAACCAACCAAAGACCGGGGGCAGCAGCAGGCCAGCAAGACGGCAUCUUCUCCUUCCCAGCCUAGAAGCCCUGUGAAAUCGAGGAUCUUCCCCCUAAAACACAUACACACAAGAUAUGUGCAAUCAAGCUGCCACCGCUUGGUAAAAAGCCAUGGUGCCUAACCAAAAAGGAUCAGGAACAGAUCCUUGAAUCAGCUGUCACUUCUAUAGAAUGGGAUUUUUUUUUCCUUCCUCCUUAACCUGCGCUGGAAAUUGCCGUUGGCUUUAUACAUCUCUAUAGAGAGAGGCUAAAGAGUCUUGCGUGAGAAAGAAGCAAUUUACAAUGCAAAUAGAGGCCUGUGAAGGGACGGAUGCUGCUGCUCACUCGUAACAGCUUGCUGCACCUUAAUAGCUGGUUUUAUUUUCUGAUAUUAAUAGAUGAAUUGUUGGCUAACGCUGCCGGAGAUUACUUGCUGAAAGGAAAAAGAAAAGUUCGGAAUAAACUCUGAAGGCAACAGAUCUCGUUUGGAUGUUUUAGCCGCGCACACACACAAACAGAAACCAGGUCAUAUUUACAUAAAAGGAGGAAUCUUAAGCGCGGCAAGUAUCCUGGACGACCACUCUUCGGUACUGCCAGAAAGGAUCAGGACCUGGAGUCUGGCAAGAGGAAGACAGAGGCCUGUGUGGGAAGCGAGUUGUUAUCUUUGGUUAUCUAGCUGUAUGAGUGUAUUGGUCUUCAUAAAGCUAGAUAACCGAAAGUAAAAACUCCUUCAAGAUCGCCGGGGAGCGUGUGAGAAUGAAAGACUACAGCCGAGAGACAGUAAAAACCAGAAAGGUCAGGAAUACUUAUUGAAUCUAACUUUGUUUUUGUUUUGUUUUUUUCCUUAUGAUUAAAGGUGGGAUGAGAGAAAAUUAAAUGACACACACAUGCUAAAAUAUCAAGGUUCCAGAUAUGUCUUGAGAGGGGUUGUUGCAGCUGCAAAGGAGAAGUGUAUAGUGAUAAUGAGUAAAGAUGCAUGUGCAGUUUGUUCUAUUUUAAGGCAAAAGUUAUAUCAGGGAUUUUUUUCUUAGAAAGGUGUUGCAGAGAUGUCUGGUACCUAGUUUAAAAAUGAUUCCAUAAUAUGUAGACUUGGGCAGUUCCUUUGGGAGGCACCUCCCUCUCAAAAUUUGAAGAUUGUGCUUGGAAAUUACUUUACAUGUAUUUGGGCUGUAUGUCAAUUUGUACGAAAUUAGACUUUCAGAAAAGUUUAUACUGGAAGGUUAAUAAUUUGUAUCUACUGAGGACUUAGAGCUAGCAGGCAAAAUGAAAAAAAAAAAAAAAAAAGCAAGGGCUGAUUUUUAUUCUUCUAUUCAAAAUACAAGGACAGAUGCUUCUCUGUUCCAAGAGGGUUUCCUUGAGGAAGCUACUGAAGCAGAAAGACAUGAUGGAGACGAGAUCGCCUCCCCUCUUGUCAAAGUGUUAAAAAAAUGUUCUGUCUUACUCUGCGCCUAGCAUUGGAAAUGAAAGUGACAUUUACGCCACAACCCACGUGUGCGCCUCCUCUCUUUUUGUUUAAGGAUGAUCAGGUCUAUCCAGGAAACAGCUCUGGCAUCCCAAACUGAAAUAAUUAGGACGUAUAUAGACCUGACAAAAAUGGAAAGGGGGUGGGGAAUCUGAGGGUCUGUCUUGCCUAAUUGAUUCCGCUAAACGGAAUGCAGGAGAUGUGAACGGCAGGACGCUCCGAUUCCCACGCUCGGGGGCAAGUGAUAAAGCGGGGCCGGGCAGCCUAUGACAGACAGCCCUGUUGGGGGGUGGGGGUAUGAAAAAAACAUCAAGUGCACACACCAUACUCAUCUCCAUCGCUUAAGAAAGUAAAGGCAUUUCCCACCCACAGCCAUCUGCAGCUUCCCAAAUGGCAGCACCAACUGGUCUGUAGCUGCUACAUAGUCUGCUUCUGUUAAUUUUUUAACCACUGUUUAAUCUGGCCAUAAUUAAGUUUGGCUUUCUUCGUUGUUUGAGAUUUUCAGAAUUCAAGGCAAGCUAGUAGAAAGCAAUUCCAAGAAAGUCCCAUGACUGCCUGCCCCUAAUGUCAAAAUCUCAGUCCAUGAGAUUAUGGCCUUGUGACCACAUUUUUGCUUUUGUUUUGGGUGGGCAAAUGUGUAUAGAGAUAAAAUACAUAUCUCUAUAUAACAGUCGUUAUUAUAAUUUCAUGAGGCUUUUUACCUCUUAACAUGAUACAUCUAGGAACUUGGUCUAAUUGUGCUAGUAGAUAUACACUAGAAGUAAAACUAUAAAGUCAUUAGCCUGUAGAAAGUUGAUUAUGAUAACAAUAUGAUAAAAAGUUUGUUUUGGAAUAGUCUCAGCUAGAUGGGUCUAAAUAGCCAUUUUAAUGUAAUCUAAAAAUAACACUAUGCCUAGCAGAAACUUUGGCGCUUUGGAGGUCCCCAUUGUCGCCUUUUCAUAAAAGUCCUUAAGUUUUCCAUAUGUCACCAAGCAAACAUUUGUAUAGGCAUUUACACAGAAAUAUAACCAUUGCAAUUAGAAAAUAUCCAAAAUAGCCUGUUAUCUUCCACGUGGCCUAGAUUAUUGACAAUCCCAAAUAUACAAUUUUUCUUUAAAAGUAGUACAAUUUCCUUUGUAGCUUCAAUUCCUUAUAUGACUUCAGACUGGAGAAGCCUGUUAAACCACUGUUAGUUUCAGUUAGAAAGUCUGAGAGACUUUAUACAUAAAUUCUCAAUUUGGCUGCUGUACACGUGCCAGAGUUUUACUACUGUAGUGACCGUUGAGAAGACCCUUGUUUAUUUACAUUUGAAGCACUGUUUGUGCAAACAACCUUUCAUUGUUAAGUGCCUGUAUUCCUUUCAUUUACUUCAUGUCCAGGGGUGCUAUUUACCUAGAACCAUUGUCUACUACAAUUAACAUUUACAUUACAAAGUGUGUGGUUUUCUUUUUCAAGGAGGUUCAAUUAAGGCAAUAAGAUGUUUGCUGGAGAAACCUAUUGUUUACUGAAAGCACUCAAUGAAGUCAAAUUACUGAAGCUUUUGCCUACAUCUUGGUCUUUUAUGUAAAUAUGUUAAAUAUAACAUCUAAGGAAAAUAAACAAUAUUAUAAUUAUGUGUUUGCCAUUGUCAUAUCAAACUUGCUUUGUAUCAUACUAAUGUUACAUAACUUAUCGAUCAAUA
ensembl:lncRNA MIR9-2HG MIR9-2 host gene